UCGAGGAUCUUCGGCAAUGGGCGCAAGCCUGACCGAGCGACGCCGCGUGUGCGAUGAAGGCCUUCGGGUUGUAAAGCACUGUCGAGGGGAAGAAAAGCCGCAAGGCUUGAUCGACCCCUGGAGGAAGCACGGGCUAAGUUCGUGCCAGCAGCCGCGGUAAGACGAACCGUGCGAACGUUGUUCGGAAUCACUGGGCUUAAAGGGCGCGUAGGCGGGUCAGCAAGUCAGGGGUGAAAGCCCACGGCUUAACCGUGGAAGUGCCUUUGAUACUGCUGGUCUUGAGGGAGGUAGGGGCGUGCGGAACUUCCGGUGGAGCGGUGAAAUGCGUAGAUAUCGGAAGGAACACCGGUGGCGAAAGCGGCGCGCUGGAUCUCUACUGACGCUGAGGCGCGAAAGCCAGGGGAGCAAACG
rnacentral:rRNA from 1 species